CAUAAGCAAUAGAAAGCGAUUCCAACCUAAUGAAGAGGAGCGAUGCAAGUGGGUACAAUUGUUUGCCAACAUUGUAAUGAAGCCGUGGAGCAUUUCGAAGGGGAAAAAGUCAGCCGUUUGUACGCGGUAUCAUCUUGCUCACGUUGCCAGCAACAAACGACUGAAACGCUCGCGAAUAAAUAGACGAUAAUGAACACCUUGCAAGGAUGACUGCAAGGUGUUUU
rnacentral:sRNA from 1 species